rnacentral:rRNA from 1 species
UGGGGAAUAUUGGACAAUGGGGGCAACCCUGAUCCAGCGAUGCCGCGUGUGUGAAGAAGGCCUGCGGGUUGUAAAGCUCUGUCGUAUGGGACUAACAAAAUGAAGGUACCAUGCAAGAAAGGAUCGGCUAACUUCGUGCCAGCAGCCGCGGUAAGACGAGGGAUCCUAGCGUUGUUCGGAAUUAUUGGGCGUAAAGCGGGUGUAGGCGGACUUAUAAGUCAGGUGUGAAAUCCCAGGGCUCAACCCUGGAAGUGCACUUGAUACUGCAAGUCUUGAGUGUGGUAGAGGCUAUUAGAAUUCCUGGUGUAGUGGUGAAAUACGUAGAUAUCAGGAGGAAUACCGGAGGCGAAGGCGGAUAGCUGGGCCAACACUGACGCUGAGACCCGAAAGCGUGGGGAGCAAACAGGAUUAGAUACCCAUGUAGUCCCUGAGCGGGCUGGCAAGGCGCAU